GGGUUGCUGGGGUUGUGUAACUGUGCCUAGAGGGCGGGGUUCCUGUACAUUCCUACUUCACCAGAUAACCUGCCCCCAACACCACUUCAGCUUCUGCCAGACAGAUGGAACUCUCCAGCCUGAAAAUCUGCACAGCCAUUCCAACAAGCAGGGCUCUGCCUGAGGUUGUCCGAAGGAUGCCGAGAAAAAGGAUAUCAGGACUGGAAGCGCUCUUACAGCAAAGAUCCAGGUUUUUCAUUAGUCAAUACAGUGAAGGCUGGCAUGAUCAUCAGCUUCCCAUCAAAUAAUAUCUACUCAUCAGUGUGCUGUUACCAAUCAGAGAUUUUCAAGCAUGAGUUCUCCAACUCAAAGAAAAGUAGCUGGAUCCAGGAAGAAAGGCAUUUGGGGAGGAACAACGUUCUUUACAGUGCUCAGGAUGUGUCUCCAGAGAAAGUUACUUCAGCACUAAACAAACAAACAAACAACAAUAAACAACUUUCCUCUACAGUAUUUUCCAGGCUCUAAACUAUUAGACAGGCUCCUAACUUUAUCCAGAUCUCUCCCAUGUCUGAAUUCUUGGUCAUCUUCCUUGCCUCUGGCUCCACAGGUAAAGAAG